rnacentral:rRNA from 1 species
CGAUUGACGUUACCCGCAGAAGAAGCACCGGCUAACUCCGUGCCAGCAGCCGCGGUAAUACGGAGGGUGCAAGCGUUAAUCGGAAUUACUGGGCGUAAAGCGCACGCAGGCGGUCUGUCAAGUCGGAUGUGAAAUCCCCGGGCUCAACCUGGGAACUGCAUUCGAAACUGGCAGGCUAGAGUCUUGUAGAGGGGGGUAGAAUUCCAGGUGUAGCGGUGAAAUGCGUAGAGAUCUGGAGGAAUACCGGUGGCGAAGGCGGCCCCCUGGACAAAGACUGACGCUC